rnacentral:rRNA from 1 species
GACGGAGGAUGCAAGUGUUAUCCGGAAUCACUGGGCGUAAGCGUCUGUAGGUGGUUUAAUAAGUCAACUGUUAAAUCUUGAGGCUCAACCUCAAAAUCGCAGUCGAAACUAUUAGGCUAGAGUAUAGUAGGGGUAAAGGGAAUUUCCAGUGGAGCGGUGAAAUGCGUAGAGAUUGGAAAGAACACCGAUGGCGAAGGCACUUUACUGGGCUAUUACUAACACUCAGAGACGAAAGCUAGGGUAGCAAAUGGG